GCCAGGUGUGGUGGUGCACGCCUGUAAUCCCAGCUACUCGGGAGGCUGAGGUGGGAGAAUUGCUUGAACCCAGGAGGCGGAGGUUGCAGUGAGCCGAGACUGUGCCCCUGCACUCCAGCCUGGGUGACAGAGCAAGAUUCUGUCUCCA
rfam:Gorilla gorilla gorilla genomic chromosome, chr13, whole genome shotgun sequence